rfam:Sclerotinia sclerotiorum 1980 scaffold_3 genomic scaffold, whole genome shotgun sequence.
UCCCUCGUGGCGCAAUUGGCUAGCGCGUUCGACUGUUAAUUUAUAGCAUACAGAUAAAUCGAGAGGUUCGUGGUUCGACCCCACGCGAGGGAG